AUUGAACGCUGGCGGCAUGCCUUACACAUGCAAGUCGAACGGCAGCGGACCUUCGGGUGCCGGCGAGUGGCGAACGGGUGAGUAAUAUAUCGGAACGUACCUUUCAGUGGGGGAUAACGUAGCGAAAGUUACGCUAAUACCGCAUAUUCUGUGAGCAGGAAAGCAGGGGAUCGCAAGACCUUGCGCUGAUUGAGCGGCCGAUAUCAGAUUAGCUAGUUGGUGAGGUAAAGGCUCACCAAGGCGACGAUCUGUAGCGGGUCUGAGAGGAUGGAUCCGCCACACUGGAACUGAGACACGGUCCAGACUCCUACGGGAGGCAGCAGUGGGGAAUUUUGGACAAUGGGCGCAAGCCUGAUCCAGCCAUGCCGCGUGAGUGAAGAAGGCCUCGGUUGUAAGGACUCUUCUAGCCGGGAAGAAACGGAC
rnacentral:rRNA from 1 species